CCACAAGACUUUGGGCCCAUCCAUUAAUUGGAUGGAAGACUAUUUAAGAAAAGAAUAGGUUGUUGCUGGAAGAAGUGUUAGUGAGGCAACCUUGUAGUCUGUGUGUGGACCCAAAUGUCCCAGUACACUGAUGGGAACACUAUGCUGAAACCGAUGCCAUCUUUCGGAUAGGACUUAAAACCGAGGUCCUGACUUUCUGCGGUCAUGAAAGAUCUCUGGGUAUAUUUUGAAAAGAGUUGAGUAUAUCCUGAUGUGCUAGGUAAAUUGUCCACCACAGCCUGGUCAUUCUGACCCCAUAAUCAUCCCCAGCCCCUUUUUGGCUAACUCUCUUUAUCACUCUUUCACCAUCUAAUAGCUAAUGUGUGGUGAGCCUAGUGGUGAAAAAAAUGGCUGCCAUCCCAUCAUCCAGAUGGAUUCUGAACAUCGGUAGUGGUUGACCUUGCAUCCAUGUGAAGCAUUUGCAGUCGAUUAGAAAAGUGCUAUAUAAAUGUAAUUUAUGUAAUUGAACUUAAUGGUGCACUCCUUUCACUGACACACUAUGGCAUAGUGGAAUAGCAUCCAAACUGUUCCCAGAAAGCUGCAUGUUCAUUUGCCAUCACAUGCUUACUGUGAGACCCUGAGUUAAGCCUUUCACCAUUCCUGUUCUCCAACUGUAGAAAGAACAAAUAUAAUAAUUGUUUCUUGUGAAAUAGUGGCCUCAUUGUAACACACUGUAGAGUUUGAGCCCACACUCCUGUUGCUGAGUGGGUAUCAAACAGAUUUAACAAAACACCCUCCAAUUUUGUUAGCCAUUCUAACGUGUGGUAAUUUAUAGAGAGUACUGGAAGGAAAUGGUAGGCAGUAGAUGCAGUGCAACAGACAGCACAAAGUUGUUGUGGGCCGAGUGGCAAAUGAUAGAGCUGGCUUUGGGAGUGAGGUAACUCGAUAUGACACUGUCAGCCUGAAAGGGAGAAGAAACUUUGUACAGCAGGAGGUGUGGACUGAGGUGGAGGAGGAAAGGAUCAACAAAAUUAUGCUUGGAUGACAUGGGAAAUCUGGCAAUGGAAUCUACAAAGGAUUAGGUUUUUAAUCCAGGGAGUCUACGAUGUUCUUACAAUUCUGUCCAAGUUAUUUGUACUGAACUUUGCUGAAACACUAGCGUGUACCCUGUGUUCCAAGACAUCGACCCUGGAACACAUAGUAAGCAGUUGCUCUAAGGCUAUGUGUGAAGGACGAUGUCCCUCAAGUCCAUUGCGGAGACCAUCAGCAAGGGGAUAAGGGAAUUCAGAGGGUCAAUCGUCCAGUGAAGCUGAUUGCCUGUGUGAAAGAGGGAGAGCAGCUACAACAGAGGGGCCAGUACUGGGAGAGCAGCCUGCUUUUCUCUGCACAGAAAUUGGUGUUGCAGGUCAAUUUGAAAUUCCACCACCUUUCACAAAGAGUCCACUGAGCUCAGACAUCACCACAAGACAGGUCAUCAUACUGAAACUGAAUGUUCUGUAGAAGAGUGGAUGGACACAAAAUACGCAGAACAGGUGGAUGAUUGCCGCAGACAAGGGUGGAGGUCAAAGUGUAUGCCCAUCAAGGUGGGCUGAAGGGGCUAUGCAGGCCAGUCCCUUAGUAAGGUCUAUGGAGUCCUGGGUAUGAUGGGAUGGGGCUGAACACAGAAAGCUAUCAGAUCCAACACAGAGGCAGCAGGGAGAGCCUCUAGGUGGACACAAGCAAGGCGUGAUAAACCUCAGCAGGGUCACCUGGAUGAGGGUGUCUGAUGUUCAAAAGACCCACAAUGCCCCCCAAUUCCAGGCAGCAUCAGAUAUGAUGUGUCCAAGUUUGUGCCUCAUUGGAUGUAUUCUCAAAGUGCAUCUACCAAUUGACUCGAAGACAAACUCUCAAGUCCCAUUUAAAGCCGACAUCUUCAGAGAAUUGACUUUUCACUUGUAAUUCUUUUUGCUGUUUUGUUUUUUUGUUGUUGACCAGUUGUAUAAAUGUUCUUGUUAUUAAUUUCUGUAUUAAAAAUAGAAAGUCUUGAUUCUGGAAUGCAGCAGUAUCUGCAGGUCUUUGUGCCCAUGCCGGAUUUAUGAAGUCCAUUUCUGUUCAUGAAGUCUUCUGCAGGUAGUCGUCUCUGACACAAACACAUCGGCCUCCUGAAGGCUGCUUCUGAUCUAUUGGACUGGCGUUUGGGGCUUUUUCUUUACCAUAAGGAGGAUUCUUUUUUCAUCAGCAGUGGAGAUCUUCCUUGGCCUACCAGUUCUUUUGUGAUUACUGAGCUUUAUUCCUAAUGAUAUUUCAGACACUUGUGUUACCGUUGUCUCUAAUGGUUUUAUUGUUUUUCAGCUUCAUAACGGCUUCUUUGAUUUUCAUUGUCACAGCUCUUGUCCUCAUGUUGAACAAUGACAACUACUGACUCCAAAUGGUAGAAGAAAGUCGAGGUAACUUAUGAAGCAAUGUAACCCACCUGAGGAAUCACAAACACCUAUUAUGCCAAAUGUCAGAAACAUUAUGGUACCCUGAAAUGGAGGAGAGUGUGUCUUAAAAUUAUUGUCAUUUCUACAUGAUUUACCCAAAAUGUAUGCAAAUAUCCUUAAAGUCUGCAACAUGCACUUUAAUCACAUUUGAAUUAUUUGAUUUGUAAUUUCAAACUGUGCAGCAGAGGGGUAAUUGAAGGAAAUAAGUGUCUUUGUCCCAAACAUCACGCAGUACCAAUAAACCUCCUUUUCAAAGUUUCA